rnacentral:rRNA from 1 species
UUACCUUCGGGUAAUGAGGAUGGCGGACGGGUGAGUAACGCGUAAGGAACUUGCCUCUUGGACUGGGACAACUGUUGGAAACGACAGCUAAUACCGGAUAUUAUGAGAUUCUCGCAUGAGAAACUUAUGAAAGCUAUAUGCGCCAAGAGAGAGCCUUGCGUUCCAUUAGCUAGUUGGUGGGGUAACGGCCCACCAAGGCGACGAUGGAUAGCCGGCCUGAGAGGGUGAACGGCCACAAGGGGACUGAGACACGGCCCUUACUCCUACGGGAGGCAGCAGUGGGGAAUAUUGGACAAUGGACCAAAAGUCUGAUCCAGCAAUUCUGUGUGCACGAUGAAGGUCUUCGGAUUGUAAAGUGCUUUCAGUUGGGAAGAAGCAAGUGACGGUACCAACAGAAGAAGCGACGGCUAAAUACGUGCCAGCAGCCGCGGUAAUACGUAUGUCGCAAGCGUUAUCCGGAUUUAUUGGGCGUAAAGCGCGUCUAGGCGGAAAAAUAAGUCUGAUGUUAAAAUGCGGGGCUCAACUCCGUAUUGCGUUGGAAACUGUUUUUCUAGAGUACUGGAGAGGUGGGCGGAACUACAAGUGUAGAGGUGAAAUUCGUAGAUAUUUGUAGGAAUGCCGAUGGAGAAGUCAGCUCACUGGACAGAUACUGACGCUGA